ensembl:misc_RNA
CUUCAUGUGAGUGCGCCCGGUGGUUUGCCCAGAGUCCAGAUUGUGUCAUGUGCCUCUUGGUGUAGACGCUAUAUCUUCUUAAAUUUUC